CCGGCGACCGGCGCACGGGUGAAUAACACGUAUGCGACCUGCCCCCCGCAGGGGGAUAACCGGGAGAAAUCCCGACUAAUACCGCGUAACGCCGCGGACCUGCAUGGGUCUGCGGCCAAAGGAAGCGAUUCCGGCGGGGGAUGGGCAUGCGGCGCAUUAGCUAGUCGGCGGGGUAACGGCCCACCGAGGCGACGAUGCGUAGGGGUUCUGAGAGGAAGGUCCCCCACACUGGUACUGAGACACGGACCAGACUCCUACGGAAGGCAGCAG
rnacentral:rRNA from 1 species